AAUCUAAUUUUCUUUGAUUCCGAUUGUUAAGAUUUAAUACAAUCAACCUUUGAUCAAAUAUCCUUUAGAGGAACAGUUAGGUUAGUCACAAUUCAAAUUUAACUGUUUUCUUUCGUACAGGUGCCGUGGAAAACAAUUAUGCGUACGCGUGCCUUUUGACGUGUGGCGCAUUGUGCAGUAAUGCUGACAUAAAAAACGGGGGAGGCAUCCGAGGCGAUGCGUCCGAAGCCGCUAUUUUAAAUUUUCUCAUUCAAAAUAGUGAUCCUCUCACCGUCAGGAAAAGCUAUCCAAAAAUCGCCGAAAUACCCUUUAAUUCAGUUAACAAAUAUCAAGUCAGCGUACAUCUUGAUACGUUGAAGUCACAAUACAUAGUCGUGAUGAAAGGUGCGCCGGAGUGCCUCUUCGCUCGUUGCUCCACUGUUGCUACCGAAAACAAUGAUGUUAAAUUGACAAAUGAAAUGAAAGAGUCUGCUGAAAAGAAUAGCGAAGGUUUGGCAAAUACUGGUGAACGAAUUAUGGCUUUCGCGGAUUUGGUUUUGGAUUCGAAACAAUAUCCUUUGGGUUACAC